CUUCCCAACCCAGGGAUCGAACCCGCAUCUCCUGCAUGCAUCUCUUGCACUGGCAGGAGAAACCACAAUACCCUGGACUCUGAGGAGUGAGGAGGAGUCACAGAUGAUCAGAACUGCAUUCAGGUUCCUAGGUCUACCCCCACACUUGACUGGUUUGUGGUUUUGCCCUAGAAUCUGCACCUUUGAAAAGCUAGGGCUUUGCUCUUCCUGGGCUUCCCUGGUGGCUUAGCUGGUAAAGAAUCUGCCGGCAAUGCAGGAGACCCCGGUUCGAUUCCUGGGUCUGGAAGAUCCGCUGGAGAAGGGAUAGGCUACCCACUCCAGUAUUCUGGCCUAGAGAAUUUCAUGGACUGUAUAGUCCAUGGGGUUGCGAAGAGUCGGACACGACUGAGUGACUUUCACUUUCACUUCACUUUGCUCUUCCUAAUGGCUAAUCUCUCAUUUGUAAUUAAAACAACUGGGCAACCAGACCUGUGAGAAUAAAACAUCUGGGGCAGCGAAUGAUCCUCCAGGACCGCUUUUCCUGGUUUCCCAACAAGAGAUGUUAUAGAUAUACUUCUGAGUCUUGUUAUUCCAAAGGCCAUGCUGACAUUCACUUCAGUGGAACAAGCUGGGGUACCUUCCUAACAAGAUUAAACAGCAAAGCCACAGAAGAAAGAAAGGAAAAUCCAAUGCGCUGGAUUGUAAGUGUCUCUGUGGAGUGUCGCAUCCUUUCGGGAUAAGGGGAUUACUUGUUACACGCCCACACGCCUCUCCCUUCUGAAGAUGUCUUUGAAGAACGAUUCUGACGCUAGCAUCAGUCAGUCGCUUGGAAGCUGACCCCGGGUGAACCGCUGCUUCUUUUUUCCACUGCCUCUUCUGGAAGUCAUUAAGAGAUAGACGACAGAGACCAAAAUUUGAGAAAGUGCCAGGGGUUUGUUUAUUCUGAUCUGGUUCCUUAGAGAUGCAAAUGCAUGAAUUAUGAACAUGAUGGAUGGAAUUGUAAUGUUUCAACCUGCCAGCCCUGCAUCAGGGCCUACUUGAGUCUUGCUAAAAAAAGACAAAUAAGUGCUCAUGUUUGUCAAGAGAAGAGAAGAGACUCCUUAGAACUUUUACUUCAGACAACUCAAAUCCAGACUCAACCAACUAGUUCCUUUAUAAAGGAAUCCAUUUCUUAAUGCCAGUGUAUAUGCAUAUAAGCGCCCGUGUCUUGAUGGCUCAGCUUAAAGAAUCUGCCUGCAAUGCAGGAGAUACAGGAGAUGAGGGUUUGACCCCUGGGGUCAGGAAGAUCCCGAGGAGGAGGAAAUGGCAACCCAAGAAUACUCCAGUAUUCUUGCCUGGAAAAAUCCCAAGGACAGAGGAGCCUGGUGGGCUACAGUCCGUGGGGUCGCAAAGAAUUGGACACAGCUGAACAGCUAAAUCAUGACAACAACAAAGUGCUUUGAAGACGCCCUUAUCUUCCAAGACCAGGCUAGGAAAGUCUCGCAAGGCUGUUGCCCAUCCGCUCAGAGUGAGCAAUUUCGUGUUCAGCCUCUGACACUGGAACAUUUCCAGUGGCCUGAGUCCAGCGGAGAGAGCUGAAUCCUGUUUCUAGAGUUGUGUCCGUCUUAACCAAACCUUUCUAAUAAAUGAACUGUUCAUCACGCCCAAGAGACACAGGGCUGGGGCUUUAUUUGUGUCUACAGAACUGAUUGCAUGAACUAUUUUGUGUCUGCUUGCCAAGAAACGUUUGUCGAGUAAAUGUCCACGUGAUGGGAAGAA